CUGGCAAAUCCACUCAUAGGAUUUCUGGGGAAUUUCUCUAAGAAUAACAACACGCUGCUUUCUUGACUCACAAAUGUGGGGCCGCAGGACUCCAGCUGCUUUCAGUUCAGGAGAGCAACAGCUCUUCAGGUGUUGUCAGAACUUGGACCAGAGGAGAUCACGUCCUCAGGUCUGGCUUCAGAACCUGCUUUGAGAAAGAAGACACCUGUCUCUAUCCGGUACCUCUGUCACGCCCAGCUCCACAGUCGUGUGACAUCGGGAGAAGCACGCGGGAGUGCGGAGUGAAGAGGGAGAGCUCGGGGAGGCGCUGGAACCAUCCGGCGGAGUACCAGUCGGUCUGUGGCAGCUGUCCCGUUCCCCCCGCUCUGGGUGAGAGUUGUUCUGAAAAGGUUUCCCCCACACACACAUAGGAUAUUUUGCUUACAAUCUUCCUUAAUUUCUUCCCCUGAUAAUUAAAAGAAUAGGUUGAAAUAUAGGCUUACAUUUAAAAAGAUAUUUGUUCUCCUUUUUAAAAAAAAGUCAAGGAAAGUUUGGUUAGACAUUUGAGGAUGUUAGUUUUGGAGACAAGUGGAAAGUAACUUUCCACUAAGUUGAUCUAGAAACUUAAAUUUAUGUUCAUCAAGCGACCUCAGAUUAAGGCCGGGUGUGGCGGUGCAUGUCUUUAAUCCCAGCACACGGUAGGCUGAGGCAGGAGGAUUGUUGUAAAUUCGAGGCCAGCCUGAAGUACGUAGGGAGAGGGGAGGGCGAGGAGCGGGGGGGUGGGCAGAAGGUGGUGGCAGCUUAAAUUGUAGAACACAAUUACUUCAACCUGUAAAGAUUUUUCAGUGUUUUAUUUAAGCAAUAUUUCAGAAACUGUUGUUUCAAAGAAAGUUUUGUUCAAGUACACAGUCUCUUUCACUUUCUCACAACUGUUCUGUUUCUUUUAUAUUCAAAUAAAGUUCAGUACAUUACCUGCAUGUGGUAAGGCUCCUUGAGAUACAGACGUCACAGCUAGGGAGAAUUCUGAUUGGUCCUCUCUUGGUUGAGUUACAUGCCUUGAACCAAUCUGGGUGGCAUAUGAGUGGAGGAGGGUUCUGAUAGGCCAGACCUAGGUCAUGGGCCCACCCUCCGGCAGGGGGACCCCAAGUUUAGCCUAUUGGAUGGUUUCUCAGGAAAGAGGGUUUCUGCUGCAAACAAGGGCCUGAGGAUUAUGGGAGAAACCAAAACAGAUAUCCACA
rnacentral:lncRNA from 1 species